GAUGAACGCUAGCUACAGGCUUAACACAUGCAAGUCGAGGGACCGGCGCACGGGUGAGUAACACGUAUACAACUUGCCCUUUACCCGGGGAUAGCCUUUCGAAAGAAAGAUUAAUACUCGAUAUAAAGGAUGGGGAUGCGUUCCAUUAGGUUGUUGGUGAGGUAACGGCUCACCAAGCCUUCGAUGGAUAGGGGUUUUGAGGGGAAGGUCCCCCGCGUGGGAACUGAGACACGGUCCAAACUCCUACGGGAGGCAGCAGUAAGGAAGGUUGGUCAAUGGGCGCUAGCCUGACCCAGCCAAGUAGCGUGAAGGAUUGAGGCGUAUGGGUCGUAUACUGCUUUUAUAUAAGAAUAGGUAUUAUAUGAAUAAGGAUCGGCUAACUCCGUGCCAGCCGCCGCGGUAAUUC
rnacentral:rRNA from 1 species